AUUGAACGCUGGCGGCAUGCCUUACACAUGCAAGUCGAACGGCAGCACGGGAGCAAUCCUGGUGGCGAGUGGCGAACGGGUGAGUAAUAUAUCGGAACGUGCCCAGUCGUGGGGGAUAACGUAGCGAAAGCUACGCUAAUACCGCAUACGAUCUAUGGAUGAAAGCGGGGGAUCGCAAGACCUCGCGCGAUUGGAGCGGCCGAUAUCAGAUUAGGUAGUUGGUGAGGUAAAGGCUCACCAAGCCGACGAUCUGUAGCUGGUCUGAGAGGACGACCAGCCACACUGGGACUGGAGACACGGCCCAGACUCCUAC
rnacentral:rRNA from 1 species